rnacentral:tRNA from 1 species
CCGGCGGCUGGCAGGGGGAGCCCGAGCUGCGGGUCUGACCGGCCCGGGCCGCCGCCGGCCCGGGCGCCGGCGCCGCCGGUCC